rnacentral:lncRNA from 1 species
AUGAAUAAAGUUUUUUAUUAUAUUCUAGGGUAAACAGAGUCUAUUAUUUUCUUCCAAACAGAAAGACAAUAAACAAAAAAAGAGAACGUGAAGGUUUUUAUAUAUAGUUCACAAAAUUUAAAUGGAUACUCUUACGACCUUCAAAUUUCCAAACAACAUUCACAAGGGGACAUACAGCUCUAAGUGAGUAUUACAGAAAUGGAAGAGAUUAACCCCAUUUUAAAAAGCUAGAGGAGUUCCUGUCAUGGCUCAGCAGUUAACAAACCCGACUAGUGUCCAUGAGGACAUGAAUUCAAUGCCUGGCCUCGAUCAGUGGGUUAAGGAUCCAGCGUUGCCAUGAGCUGUGGUGUAGAUCGCAGACGCGACUUAGAUCCCGUGUUGCUGUGGCUUUGGUGUAGGCUGGCAGCUACAGCUCCGAUUUGACCCCUAGCCUGGGAACCUCCAUAUGCCACAAGUGAAGCCCCAAAAACACAAAAAAUAAAGAUAAAUAAAUAAAUAAAUAGAGAAGAACAGCACAAUGUAACCCUCCCAAAAACAUGGGGGAAAGGAAAUAAGAGCAACAGGCAAUGACAGUAGAGAGCAAACACACAACAGGGAAAAUGGACAAUACCAGAGCUGAUUUUCUGAGAAGGUUAAUACAAAUGAUAAAGCUCUAGAAAUAUUGAAUUUUUAAAAUUAAGACAAUGCAAAAUAGCAUUAUCAGGAACGAAAACGGUGAAAUGAGUACAUACCUUAAAGAAUAAGAGGCUAUCGGAAGAGUUUUAUGACAAUAAGUAUGUCAACUUAGAUGAAAUGGACAGAUUCCUUAAGAAAAUUAUACAACUUUACCAUAACUGAACAAGAAGAUCUUUAAUAAUUCAGUAUCUUUCAACAAAAUUUAAUCUAUAAUUAAAAAUUACCCAUGAAAGAAAAAUUGAGGCCCAGAAAACUUUACUUGAAAAUUCAUCCAAAUUAAGAUGUGUAACUAAUACCAAUAUUAUAAAACCUCCUUCAGAGAAUAAAGAAUAACUAAAGUAACACAAGUCAUCUUAAGAGGCCAGGAUAAUAUUGAUCUAAAACCAAAUAAGGAUUAUUAAAAGAAAAUUAUGGACCAAUUUUUCUAAUAGAGGCAAAAAUCAAAAAAUGCAAAUAAAAUCCAGUGAUGUAUUGGAAGUCUAUUUUAAAAUCAAAUAGUAUUUAUCACAGAAGUGCACAGGUGGUUUAACAUUUAAAAUUCAGUCAAUGUAUUUGACUAUAGUAACAGAAUAAAGGAGAAAACCAAACAUUCAACAGAUAUAGAAAAAGCACUUGAUAAAAUCAAAAUCACAUUCAUUGUACUAUUCAGCUGACUAGGGAUAAGAAAACUUUCUCAAUAUCAUAAAAGUUAUUUCCAAAAUACUUAAGUAUAAUGUAAUAUCAAAAGAAGAAAUAUUAGAAGACUAUGAGUGAAAAACUCUCAAUAAAACAUUAGCAAAAAAAAAUCAACAGCAUAUAAAAAAGGAUUAUAUACCAAAAUCAAGUUGGAUUUGUUUCUAGAAUGAAAGUUUGAUUCAAUUUAUGAGACUCAAUCACUGUAAUAUGCCAUAUUCAUAAAGCAAAGGGGGAAAAAACAUGAUGACCUCAAUUGAUGCAGGAAAAGCACUUGACAAAUGCAGUACCUUUUCAUAACAAAAACAUUCAACAAACUAGGAGUAAAGGAAAGCUACUUCAAAUUACAAAAACAUAUAUAAAUGCCCACAGCUAAAAUCAUACUCAGUGAUGAAAACAAAGUUAUUUUUUUCUAAGGGCAGGAACACAAUGAAAAUACUAAUUUGAAAAGAUACAUGCACCCAAUGCUCAUAGCAGCAUUAUUUUCAAUCACCAAGAUAGGGAAGCAAUCUAAGUGUCCAUCAACAGAUGAAUGGAUAAAGAAAAUGUGAUAUAGAUAGAUAGGGAGGGUAUUAGCCAUGAAAAAGAAGAGAAUUUUGCCAUUUGCGACAACAUAGUCAAACUUGGAGGGUAUUAUGCCUACUGAGGUCAGAGACAAAGACAAAUACUAUGUCUUUUCACAUAAAUGUGGAAUCUAAAAAAUAAAUCAUACAAAUGAAUAUAGCAAAACAGAAGCAGAUUCACAGAAACAGAGAAAAAACCAGUAGUUACCAAGGAGAGGGUAGGGAAAGGGGUUAAGAUGGGGAAAGGGGAUUAAGAGGUACCAUCUACUUGGUAUAAGAUACAAAGAUCUAAUGUAAAGCACGGACUGUACUGUCAUUAGAAUAUACUCAAUAUUUUACCAUGACUUUACUUUUCUUCUUUUUUGGCUGUGCCCAUGUUAUGUGGAAGUCCCAGAGCCAGGCAUCAAACCAUUGCCACAGCAGUAACUCAAGUGAUAGCAGUGACAACGCUGGAUCCUUAACCAGCUCGGCUAGCCAGGGAAUUCCUACAACUUUAAAAUGGAUUAAAAUCUAUAAAAAUAUUGAAUCACCAGGCCGUAUACCUGAAAAUAGUAUUAUAAAUCAACUAUACUAUAAUUUAAAAAAAUGUUCACAGACAUGCUAACUUUCAUCAUUUCUAUUCAACAUAGUUCUGAAGUCCUAGCCAAAGCAGUUAGACAGGAAAAAGAAACAAAUGGUACCCAAAGUGGAAAUGAAGAAGUGAAAUUACCUCAGUUCAAAGAUGACAUGAUCUUAUGUAAAGAAUACCUAAACUUUAAAAAUAAGUUAGAAUAGACAAAUUCAGCAGAGUUACAGGGUACAAUAUCAAGUCCCAAAAAUCAGUUGUGUUUUCACUAACAAUGAACAAUCCAAAAAUGAAAUCAAGAAGAAGAUUGCAUUUAUAAUAGCAUCAAAGGUAAAUAAAAUACGGUGGACUCUUCAACACAGCCACUGUGCAGGUCCACUAAUAUGUGGAUUUUUUCCCACAUAACACACUACAGUACUGCACCAUUCCAUAGACAUGGAACCACAAAUACAGAGGACCAACUGUAAAGUUAUAGGCAGAUUUUUCAACUGGGCAGGGGCCAGAGCCCUUAAACCCUAUUUUGCAAGGGUCUACUGUUCCUAGGGAAAAAAAAUUUACCAAGGAGAUGAAAAAUUUGUACAGUAAAAACUACAAAACAUUGCCCAAAGGAAUUAAAGAAAUUAAAGAAAACACAAAUGAAUGGAAGGACAUUCUGUGUUCGUGGCUCGCUUGGAAGGGUGAGUACCCUCAAAAGGCCGAUGCCAUCCAAAGGAAAUCUAUUGAUUUAGUGCGAAUUCCUUAUGAAAAUCAAAACUUUUUUUUUGUGGCAGAAAUAUAAAAAUCCAUCCUAAAAUUCAUACAGAAUCUCAAGUAAUCCCAAAUAACCAAAGUAACUGUUGUACUUCAUGAUGUCCUCCAGAAUUCAUAUGCUGAAGCUCUACCCCAGUAGCUCAGAAUGUGACUGUAUUGACUGUAUUUGGAGACAGGACCUUUAAAGAGGUGAAUAGAGUGGGCCCUAGUCCAAUCUGAUUGAUGUUCUUACAAGAGGAAAUUUGGGGAAUUCCCAAUUUGGCACAACAGGAUCAACGGCAUCUUUGGAGUGUUGAGACACAGGUUUGAAUCCCGGCCUUGCACAGUGGGUUCAGGAUUCGGCAUUGUCACAGCUGUGGCUUAGGUCACAACUGGCUCAGAUCUGAUCUGUGGUCCAGGAACUCUAUAUGCCAUGGGGAGGCCAAAGAAGAAAAGGAAAAAGAGGCGGGGGAAGGGGACGGAAUUUGGAUACAUAAGAGACACCAAGGAUGUGCAUACAGAAAGGAAAGGCCAUGUGAGGACAGAGCAAGAAGGCGGCCAUCUGAAAGUAAUGAGAGAGGCCUCUUAAGAAACAGAACCUGCCAGCACCUUGAUCUUGGACUUUUAGCAUCCAGAAACAUGAGAAAAUAAAAGUCUGUUAUUUAAGCCACCCAAUCAGAGGCAUUUUGUUCCGGUAGUCCUAGCAAACUGGUACAACACUCAUGAAAAGAGAACAACGAAGUUGGAAAUCUCACACUUCCUGGUCUCAAAACUUACUACAAAGCUACAGCAAUCAAAAAAAUGUGGUAUCAGCAUAAAAAGAGACAUAGAACAAUGGAACAGACUAGAGAGCCCAGGGAUAAGCCCUUAGAAACAGGAUCAAAUGAUUUUUAACAGGGGUGCCAAGACCAUUCAAUGGAGAAAGGAAUGUCUCUCCAACAAAUUAUGCUGGGAAAACUGAAUAUCCACAUACAGAAGAAUGAAGACGGAUCCUUACCUCAACCAUACAUAAAAGUUAACAUAAAACGGAUCAAAGACCUAAAUGUAAGACUUAAAACCAUAAAACUCUUGGAAUAAAACAUAGAGGAAAAACCUUUAUGACGUUGGAUUGGUGAUGAUUUCUUCAAUAUGAUACCAAAGGCAUAGGGAACAAAAGUAAAUAUAAAUUAGGCACCAAAUUAUAAACUUCUGUGUGUCAAAGGACCCAAUCAACAGAAUUAAAAGAGCCAACAAAAUGGAAGAAAAUAUUUGCAAAUCACAUAUCUGACCCAAUGGUUAAUAGUCUAAAUACAUAAACCACCUACAUUCAACAACAAAAACCAAUUAGAAAAUAGGCAAAGGACUUGAACAGACAUUUCUGCAAAGAUACACAAAUGGCCAACAAACACAUGGAAAAGAUGCUCAAUAUCACUUACCAUUAGUGAAAUGAAAAUCAAAACCAAAAGGAGAUAUCGCCUCAUACCCACUGGCUAAGUUACUACUAAAAAAUAGAAAAUAAGUAUUGGCAAGGAUAUGGACAAACGGGAUCCCUUGCAUAUGUUGGUAAGACCGUACAAUGAUACAGUCCCUAUGAAAAGAAGUGUGGUGGUACCUCAAAAAUUUACAAGUAGAAUUAUAUGAUCCAGUAAUUCCUUUCUGGAUAUAAACUCAGAAGACUGAAAAUAGGGUCUCAAAGAGAUCUUUGUACACUCAUUUUCAUAGCAGCGCUAUUCAUAAAAGCCAAAAAGUAGAAACAACCCACAUUUCUAUUGGCAAAUGAAUGGACUAAAAAAUGUAGAAUGUACACACUGCCUUACAAAGGAAAUAAAUUCUGACAUAUUCUACAACGCGAAUGAACCCUGAGGACAUUAUUUUAAAUAAACCAGUCACACACACAAAAAAAUACUAUAUGAUUAUACUUAUAUGAGGUAUCUAGAGUAGUCAAAUUUAUAGAAAGAAAAUAGAUGAUUGUAGCCAGUGGCUGCGGUUAGGGAGUCAUUGAUUAAUGAACAUAGAGCGUCCUUUUGCAAGAAAAAAGUUUUGGAGAGUGACUGCACAACAACUGUGUAUAGAGUUAACUUUUAGGAAAUGAGCCCUCCAAUAUAAUUAUUUUUAAAUGAGAAUAUUAAGGACAUAGUUCAGCAAAAUGGAUAUUAAAUUUCCAUGUAUCAGAGUUCCCACUAUGGCCCAACAGAAUUGGUGGUAUCUCAGGAGUGCUGGAACUCAGGUUCCAUCCCCGGCCCUGCACAGUGGGUUAAGGAUCUGGCAUUGCUGCAGCUGCACCUUAAGUCGUGACUUCAGCUUGGAUCUGAUCCCUGGCAUGGGAACUCCACAUGCCAUGCAUGGGUGGCUAAAAAUGAAAAUAAAUAAAUUUCUAUGUAUUUACUGAAGUCUUUUCAAAACUGACCAGCAUGUAAUUUGCAAAUUGACAUGAAACUUAGUAUUUUGGUUUGGAACUCAUAAUCAGUGCUUGAAAGUAAGAUUUUUUUUUUCUAGGAGUUCCCACUGUGGCUCAGUGGGCUAAGAAUCUGACUAGUGUCCAUUAGGAUGCAGGUUCGAUCCCUGGCCUCCAUCAGUGGAUUAAGGCUCCAGCAAGCUGUGGCAUAGGUCUCAGAUGUGGCUUGGAUCUGGCGUUGCUGUGGCUGUGGGGUAGGCCGGUGGCUAUGGCUCCAGUUUGACCCCUAGCCUGAGAAUCUCCAUAUGCUGCAGGUGAGACUCUAAAGACCAAAAAAAAAAAAAAAAAGUUUUAAAAAAAUCUAAUGAAGACUAGGUGGAAAUAAACCUCACUGUUAUACACACUAGGAACUUUCCCUAUGGCUAUCUGGUUAAUUGUGUACCAAACCUUCCUGGACACUGAUCUAGGCUACGUUUCCUGGAUUCCUUGCAGUUCGGUGUGGCCACAACUGUGUUUCUGCUAAUGGACUGUGGGUAAAAAUAAUACAUGUCAUCUCCAGGCCUUAACCAUAAAACCAUCCCAUGCACUAUCCUUCAUUCUCUGAGCAAUUACCUAGAGAAGGGCGGAACCACAAAGUGUCAGAAAUCUGGGUGAAAAUUCCUGGGGAGAGAUGCCAGGUUAGGGACAUACACGCCAGACUAUUACUUCAUCGAGAAACUUUUAUUAUGUUAAGCAUCUAAAAUAUUGACUUUUCUUUUUGAUUUUUAAAAAGUUUACCUAGACACAACAUGAAAGUUUAAAACAAAAACUAAGUAGUAAAAAUUGUUCAUCAAUUGGCCAAUUGAUAUUUUUAUUCAGUUUCAUAAAGGAAUGGACACUGCUAACAAAAACCCUGGGUUAGGACUGGCGUUCAUUACUUUCGAUUAUCUUCCCAGACACAACCGUCCACCUGUUGGUACACGUGACUGCACCUGGCUUUGCAAGCAAUCCUAGCUUGCAUACACAUCUGCUCAUUUGAACACUUGAUUCAUCUGUACAAGCAAAACUUCAUCAAUAUUAUAUGCCCAGACAGAAUGAACAAAAUGAUUGCAAAACUGAAAAUGUGAUUAGCUGGAUUCUUUACAUUGUUGGAACCGCCUAGCUAAGGGAUGUGUCUGAAGAGCCCUCUGAAAAUAUUCUGAACUUUUUGAAUACACUUGGAAUACUCUGAUAAAAGCCUUCAUCAGCAUCUUCUUCAACUAGAUGGCGACAGCAGACAAUGGAAUUUUAACUCUUUUUCCUUCUGCCAUUUUAUAAACAUGACACAGAGGGACAGUAAAUGUUGCAAAGAGAACAAGGUAAAAGUCUAUUAAACAAAAGCAUAACAAGAUUUUGGCCAGGAAUUAAUUCUAAGCACCCAACUCUAUAAGCAAAGAUAGCAGUCCAUCCCUGACUAUAUAAAUGAAGGUUUCUUAGUAUCAUGGUUCUGUAAGUUCACACUUAGUAUCUGCCUCUGAGUCACUGACAUCCUUGCGAAAAGAGGCUGAAAAAACCUAUAAUCAGAGGUUGCCUGAGACUAUCACAUGCAGAGCUGGAUACACCAAGGAAAGGAGAAAGAUAGGAUUCAUUAACAUACAAAGAUCAAAUUAUACUCAACCUGUGUUUCUCAACUGAUGUCUCCAGCAUUUCAAUAUUACCACUGGCCAGGAGCCUUUAAUGGCCAAUGUAAGAUAUGGUUCUAAACUAGAGGCCUGUAGGU